GCCUAGGAUCAUCUGUCCACAUCGCAGCAUGCAGCCCCAGCCUGUGUCGGACGUAGGCCCUGUCCCUCCUGGAACACAUUGAAACAAUCUGCACCUGAUAGGCUAAUCUUAUUGGCGUAUACAAUCAAAGUGCUAUGGUACUGUAGGCGUAUCAGUAAUGUCCUAGGGUUUAUUCUGUGGCCUGCUACAGUAGGUAUGGUACUGUAGGUGUAUCAGUAAUGUCCUAGGCUUUACUAUGUGGCCUGCUACAGUAGGUAUGGUACUGUAGGUGUAUCAGUAAUGUCCUAGGCUUUACUAUGUGGCCUGCUACAGUAGGUAUGGUACUGUAGGUGUAUCAGUAAUGUCCUAGGGUUUACUCUCCUGGCCUGCUACAGUAGGUAUGGUACUGUAGGUGUAUCAGUAAUGUCCUAGGGUUUACUCUGUGGCCUGCUACAGUAGGUAUGGUACUGUAGGCGUAUCAGUAAUGUCCUAGGGUUUAUUCUGUGGCCUGCUACAGUAGGUUUAGGCUACUCACCAAUCUGCACCUCAUAGUGCUAUGGUACUGUAGGUGUAUCAGUAAUGUCCUAGGGUUUACUAUGUGGCCUGCUACAGUAGGAUUGGGCUACUCACCAAUCUGCACCUCAUAGUGCUAUGGUACUGUAGGUGUAUCAGUAAUGUCCUAGGGUUUAUUCUGUGGCCUGCUACAGUAGGUAUGGUACUGUAGGUGUAUCAGUAAUGUCCUAGGGUUUAUUCUCCUGGCCUGCUACAGUAGGUAUGGUACUGUAGGUGUAUCAGUAAUGUCCUAGGGUUUAUUCUGUGGCCUGCUACAGUAGGUAUGGUACUGUAGGGUUUAUUUUGUGGCCUGCUACAGUAGGAUUGG